GAUGAACGCUGGCGGCGUGCCUAAUACAUGCAAGUCGAGCGAACAGACGAGGAGCUUGCUCCUCUGACGUUAGCGGCGGGCGGGUGAGUAACACGUGGAUAACCUCCCUAUAAGACUGGGAUAACUUCGGGAAACCGGAGCUAAUACCGGAUAAUAUAUUGAACCGCAUGGUUCAAUAGUGAAAGACGGUUUUGCUGUCACUUAUAGAUGGAUCCGCGCCGCAUUAGCUAGUUGGUAAGGUAACGGCUUACCAAGGCGACGAUGCGUAGCCGACCUGAGAGGGUGAUCGGCCACACUGGAACUGAGACACGGUCCAGACUCCUACGGGAGGCAGCAGUAGGGAAUCUUCCGCAAUGGGCGAAAGCCUGACGGAGCAACGCCGCGUGAGUGAUGAAGGUCUUCGGAUCGUAAAACUCUGUUAUUAGGGAAGAACAAAUGUGUAAGUAACUAUGCACGUCUUGACGGUACCUAAUCAGAAAGCCACGGCUAACUACGUG
rnacentral:rRNA from 1 species